UGGACCUUAAUAUCUCUAGCCUUACAGCGUUGACUCCGACACUCAAUCAUUUCACCAAGUCUUAGCCACUUAGCAGUUUUCUGCGAAGGAAUUUGGAAUGGAAUCCUCGAGUACCUCGGCGAGCAAUCUGCUGCACAAUAUUGGUUCAGCACAAUAGACCGGCAAUCUGCUUCAAGUUCAGUUUUCUGCGAAGGAUUUUGGAACGGAAUCCUUGAGUACCUCGGCCUGCAAUCUGCUGCGGACUAUUGCUGGGUUCAGCACAGUACUUCGGCUUUUCAGGAAAAAUCUGCAUCAAAGUUCAGGUGCGUGUGCAUGCUUGUUGAGAUUCAGCUUAACAUUACUGUUUCUUUCUAUCUUUCCAAAUACUCUGUUGCUUAAUCUUUAAUUCCGUAGAGUGGUGUAUAACUAGCUAGUACUUCUUAAAGAUCUCACAUAUUGUACCUUCAACUUUAGCUGGGUGCUUUUAUUUAUCUUUUAGGUGUGGAGUCAA